rnacentral:rRNA from 1 species
UGGGGAAUUUUGCGCAAUGGGCGAAAGCCUGACGCAGCAACGCCGCGUGAUCGAAGAAGCUCUGCGGAGUGUAAAGAUCUGUCAUAAGAGAAGAAUAGCGAGAAUUCUAACAAAAUACUCGUCUGACGGUACCUUAUAAGAAAGCCCCGGCUAACUUCGUGCCAGCAGCCGCGGUAAUACGAGGGGGGCAAGCGUUGUCCGGAUUCAUUGGGCGUAAAGGGUUCGUAGGCGGACUGAUAAGUUGGAAUUGAAAGACCACGGCUUAACCGGGGGAACGAUUUCAAUACUGUCAGUCUUGAGUGAGGUAGAGGUAAGCGGAAUUCCUGGUGUAGCGGUGAAAUGCGUAGAUAUCAGGAGGAACAUCAAAGGCGAAGGCAGCUUACUGGGCCUAUACUGACGCUGAGGAACGAAAGCGUGGGGAGCAAACAGG